rnacentral:lncRNA from 1 species
CAAAAUUCACGGGCACCAGAAAAGCGAGUUAUAGGACCUUCGUCUUAGUGAAUCGAGUUCGUAAAUAUUUAUUAGGAAUAUUUGUGAGGCUAUUUGUGUGUUUAAUUAGGCUUUAAUUAAGUGAAUUUAGCUUAAUUAAGAGAAAUUAGGAAAAAGGGCUAAAUUGAAUAAGGGAUAAAAGUAGAAUUAUAGAUUAAUAAAAAGAAAGGGGGACCAA